CCAACACUUUGAGCAAUUGUGUUAAGCAGGAGCGCCCCGGCAUAAAAUCAUGUUGUUUCGUCUCCAAUAUGUUGGAACAAAAAAUUAUCUGAGUUUCUACAAAAAGAGUAACAGGGUUAUUUUGUUUACAUUUUACAGUUCCAAUUGGUUGUUAUUGUAGUGUUAAAACAACUACCAUAUUGCUGCCUCGCUGAUCAUGGUUAAUGAAGAUCCUUGUGUCAUUUAUCGAGGACAGUGACGUUAAGAUGUAAGAUGUGGGCAACAAGACGAAGGUUUGUUUUGGUUCACGGGUCUCUUGCUGCACCACAUUGGAAACUUUCUGCUAUAACAUAAGAUACUGUGAUGUCACAUCUCAAGACCAAG